CACCGGCUUCCGCAUGGAAGCUGGUUGAAAGCUCCGGCGGUGAAGGAUGAGCCCGCGGCCUAUCAGCUUGUUGGUGGGGUAAUGGCCCACCAAGGCGACGACGGGUAGCCGGCCUGAGAGGGCGACCGGCCACACUGGGACUGAGACACGGCCCAGACUCCUACGGGAGGCAGCAGUGGGGAAUAUUGCACAAUGGGCGAAAGCCUGAUGCAGCGACGCCGCGUGAGGGAUGACGGCCUUCGGGUUGUAAACCUCUUUCAGCAGGGAAGAAGCGAAAGUGACGGUACCUGCAGAAGAAGCGCCGGCUAACUACGUGCCAGCAGCCGCGGUAAUACGUAGGGCGCAAGCGUUGUCCGGAAUUAUUGGGCGUAAAGAGCUCGUAGGCGGCUUGUCACGUCGGGUGUGAAAGCCCGGGGCUUAACCCCGGGUCUGCAUCCGAUACGGGCAGGCUAGAGU
rnacentral:rRNA from 1 species